rnacentral:rRNA from 1 species
AUGGUCGUCGCCGACACCUGCACCACCGUCGAUGUGUUGUGGCAAGACGGCACACUGCAACAUGGCAGACCUUCAGCGACUGUCGUCCCCUUUGGGAUCCGGAAUGAGCAAGAGUUCUUCCCGGGACAACAUGUUGUCGCCAACAUUCUCCCUAUUAGUGUUGCCGUUGACAGUACUGGUGACCAUGAUGAUGUGAUAACUACUAGUGUCAACAAUGACAUUCCUGCGUCUGGAACUAUACCAACAGAGCAUGUGGGCAUCGUCAAGAGCCUGCAAUACAAGGACCAGAUGGUUUGUCUAUCAUGGUUCAAGACGUCAGGGCACCCAGAUGAGGUUAGGGAGGUCGAUUGCGACCAAACCGUCAGUGCUUACGACCUAAACUUGGACUCUAACCACUCUACUUACUAUGGUGAUAUUGUCAUUUGUAUCCUACCAUCGGGAUCAACAGAUGACAGUGAAAGUGCACCCUUCUUGCCGGGAAACAAGAAGAAAAAUGCCAUUUCUGCCGAUCUUUCAUGGGUGGGGCGGGUAGUUGAACUUCCUAAUGGGCACAUCCAAGUCAAGUGGGGUGAUGGUAGCAUGUUAACGGUAUCGCCCCAUGAGAUUGUUGUCAUCAAGGACAAGCACUACAUGGAGCUAUGGCUUGAAAUGGGCGACUGGGUAGAGGACAACGGCAUCGAUGACGCACCCGAAGAACCGGUUGCUGCCAACACGGAAAUUGAUCUUCAGAAUCUAGAUAACGAUGUCGAAAGCAUCAGCCCGAUAAUGUCAAGGACAAACAUUUUAGGUUUUUCAUUCGGGUCUUUGCUCUAA